rnacentral:rRNA from 1 species
UACAGAGGGUGCGAGCGUUGUUCGGAAUUAUUGGGCGUAAAGCGCGCGCAGGUGGUUUCUUAAGUCUGAUGUGAAAGCCCACGGCUCAACCGUGGAGGGUCAUUGGAAACUGGGGAACUUGAGUGCAGGAGAGAAGAGUGGAAUUCCACGUGUAGCGGUGAAAUGCGUAGAGAUGUGGAGGAACACCAGUGGCGAAGGCGACUCUUUGGCCUGUAACUGACACUGAGGCGCGAAAGCGUGGGGAGCAAACAGG